rnacentral:lncRNA from 1 species
UUAUAUACAAAAUAUGGAGCGAUUAUAGAAUACCCGGCCACUUUUGAAUUUUGAUAGUGUUUGCUUUUGGGGGAUACGGGGAUACGCAGUCAUUAAAAUGACGUAAUUAUUCGAGUAGUUUAAAAGGAGAAUGGGUAACUAUUAUUUUUCAAUGAUACGGGGAUACGGGUAACUAUUAUUUUUCAAUGAUACGGGGAUACGGGGAUACGCAGUCAUUAAAAUGACGUAAUUAUUCGAGUAGUUUAAGAGGAGAAUGGGUAACUAUUAUUUUUCAAUGAUACGGGGAUACGGGGAUACGCAGUCAUUAAAAUGACGUAAUUAUUCGAGUAGUUUAAGAGGAGAAUGGGUAACUAUUAUUUUUCAAUGAUACGGGGAUACGCAGUCAUUAAAAUGACGUAAUUAUUCGAGUAGUUUAAGAGGAGAAUGGGUAACUAUUAUUUUUCAAUGAUACGGGGAUACGGGGAUACGCAGUCAUUAAAAUGACGUAAUUAUUUGAGUAGUUUAAAAGGAGAAUGGGUAACUAUUAUUUUUCAAUGAUACGGGGAUACGCAGUCAUUAAAAUGACGUAUUAUUUGAGUAGUUUAAAAGGAGAAUGGGUAACUAUUAUUUUUCAAUGAUACGGGGAUACGGGGAUACGCAGUCAUUAAAAUGACGUAAUUAUUUGAGUAGUUUAAAAGGAGAAUGGGUAACUAUUAUUUUUCAAUGAUACGGGGAUACGGGGAUACGCAGUCAUUAAAAUGACGUAAUUAUUCGAGUAGUUUAAGAGGAGAAUGGGUAACUAUUAUUUUUCAAUGAUACGGGGAUACGGAGAUACGCAGUCAUUAAAAUGACGUAAUUAUUUGAGUAGUUUAAAAGGAGAAUGGGUAACUAUUAUUUUUCAAUGAUACGGGGAUACGGGGAUACGCAGUCAUUAAAAUGACGUAAUUAUUUGAGUAGUUUAAGAGGAGAAUGGGUAACUAUUAUUUUUCAAUGAUACGGGGAUACGCAGUCAUUAAAAUGACGUAAUUAUUCGAGUAGUUUA